ensembl:lncRNA
CCUUGAGUUAGAAUGAGAUUCUCUGCUGUAUCUUUGGUCUUUGGUCUGCUGGUGAUCAUCACUAACUCUUCAUGCCAAAGUAAGAAUUUUCAAUAUGCAUUUUUCUAAAUAUUUCUUUGGUGGGGGAGAAUUUAAUUGGCUAUGUAAGAUUGUUUAGUCAAGUCACACUCCACAGCUAAUGGAUUUUGAUCUUUGUUACUGAGUUGUGCCCAAACUCUUCAUGACCCCUUUGGAGUUUUCUUCACAAGGAUAUUGGCAUGAUUUGCCAUUUCUUUUUCUAGUUCAUUUUGCAGAUGAAGAAACUGAGGCAAACAGGAUUAAGUGACUUGCCUAGGGUCACAAAGUAAGUGUCUGAAGCUGAAUUUCAACUCAGAAAGAUGAGUCUUCCUGUCUUCAGAUCAGGCAUUCUAUACACUGUACUACAUAGCUCCUCUGCUGGAUAGAAUACUAUUUGGUUAAGACUAAAAUUGAACUAGGCUCUCCUAAAGCUCAGUGUACUUCCAUAAAAGGUGGGUGAUUCUGGAUGAGGCCAGAUUUCAACCUUAGACUUCCCUCUCUAGGCCUGGCUCUCUAUCCAACUGCCCGAAAUCUUAACAUUUCUAAUUUUUAACAUUUCUAAAUUUUGAGCUGUCCAGUAAUUCAUUCCUCUGAGAUUCAAAUUACUUGUACUUAUCAGAAUAAACUAGAUGCUGUUGGGUGAUAUUUUUUUUGUUGCCGCAGGGUAUCUAACAUCUACCAACAAUAAACAGUGCAAGUGCCUCAAGCCAACACUUGAGACUGUCUCUCCAGGCCUCGUUCAGAUAAUUGUUCUGGAACUACCUAAAGAAGGUUGCAAACAUGUGGAAAUCACAAAAAUAAUUGCAUUAUCAAAGCCUCCUAAAACACCACACCUAAGGCUUUCUAAGCCUUCACACCUAAGGCCUCCUAAGCUACCACACCUAAAGCCUCUUCACCUACCACACCUAAAGCCUCCUCAGCCAACACACCUAAAGCCUCCUGAGAUACCAUACCUAAAUCCUUCUAAGAACCAUACCUCUGGACAUGAAGAUAUGAUCAUCUGAGCUCCCGUACCUUUGUGUUAAGAAUUUCUGUAACUUUUACUAAUUUUUUUUUUGUUACAAUUAAAGGCUCUUUCAAGUACUUCUUCCUAGGAACAAAUAGUCAAAAUGAUCUUUCUGAAGCAAUCCAGCAAAACACUUAUUUUAUAUAGCUUUAAUUGGUAAUUGGAAAAAAAUAAGUAGGUCGAUUGGAUAUCCUUUGCUUUUAGAUUCAGUAAAUUAGUUCCUUAGAAAUGUUUAAAGUUUCUUUCAUAAUCUUAACCAAUAAUAGAAAUAAGACUAAUUAUGUCAAGGCCCCAGUUCUAAUGUUGAGACUUUCCUCUAAAUUAAAGGGUAGCUUAAACAUCAAUCACAUUGGAGAAGGUGAUAUGAAUUAGGAAGGGAAGCAAGGAAUCUUUCUUUACCAGAGGAUUUCUGAAAUUACUAGGAGAGAAAGCUACUCAGGGAAUUCAUAUGAUUUCAGUCAGAGUAUGUGGAGGAAUUUAUGGGCAAUUGAACCUCCCAGUCAUACAUUAAGUAAAAAUAUUGUGAUUUUGACCAUAAAAAUUUCCUCCACUUUAUAGGCUGAUGGAGGAAAGUAAAGUGAUGGUACGUGUUAUGCCUUUGACAUUGACAGUCUGCCAGAUGAUAGGUGUGACAAAGCAACCUGAUUCUACAGAUUGUGGAUGAAAUCCAACCUUUGAUGUUUACUCCUUAUAUAACCUUAAUUAGUCACUGAAUCUUUCUGGUCUGAGGAUCUCUCAUCUCUAAAUUGUAAGGAAUAUUCUAUAUCUAGGAUCCCUCGAAAAAGGCCCCCAGAAUCAAACCCAGAGCAGUUGGGGUUAUUUACAACAAUGCUUGUCUUACAGAUCUCUGUCAUAUAGCAAGGAAUAGAUAAUUUUGAACAUUGAUUUUUUUUUAAAUGUACCACUAAUGUGCUUCAAUAAAAUUAAACUGAUAUUUUACUUAAUUGUCA